AAGCAGCACCUACUGCUGCCCAGGCUAGCACGUCGACAUGUCGAUGCCUACCCAUCACGGCUCCCUUGAAGCCACCUCUACCUCAUCGCCCAGUCACCCGUCUCUUCCAAGCAGCCCACAACAGGAAUAGGGGUGGUAAAAUGGGCGCCCUUGUGACUGAUAGCUCAACCUACAAAGCAGGCCAGCAACGGACCAAACGUGAAGGUCCUAAUAUCCACCGGGGAAUAAAACAGCGCUCUUGUGAACAAUCGUAAAUCCUAUGAGGCUGCUGCGCUUAGCUUGUAACAUGGAAAAGCAACUAUAUUGCAUUGUAAGCUUGCUUAACUUGAGAGAUGUUCUUAGCGUUGGUUUAUCAUUCUAACAUAAUUUCACGUUUGGUUAUCUUUGAUA